rnacentral:rRNA from 1 species
CUCGUAGUUGGAUCUCGGUGCCGGUCUGGGGGUCCGCCUCGCCGUGGUCUCACUGCCAGUCCCGGAGCCAUCCCGCCGGCCUUCCCUCGGUGCUCUUUACCGAAUGUCUUGGGUGACCGGAACGUUUACUUUGAACAAAUUAUAGUGCUCCAAGCAGGCGCGUCCCGCCCGCAUAACCCAACAUGGAAUAAUGGAAUAAGACCUCGGUUCUAUUUUGUUGGUUUUCGGAACCCGAGGUAAUGAUUAAUAGGGACAGACGGGGGCAUUCGUAUUGCDACGCUAGAGGUGAAAUUCUUGGACCGUCGCAAGACDAACUACUGCGAAAGCAUUUGCCAUGAAUGUUUUCCUUAAUCAAGAACGAAAGUUAUAGGUUCGAAAGCGAUCAVAUACCGCCCUAVCUCUAACCAUAAACGAUGCCGAACCGCGAUCCGCCGGAGUUCCUCCGAUGACUCGGAGGGCAGCUUCCGGGAAACCAAAGUGUUUGGGUUCCGGGGGAAAUAUGGUUGCUAAACUGAAACUUUUAGGAAUUGACAGAAGGGCACCACMCCGAGUGGAGCCUGCGACUUAAUUUGACUCAACACCGGARAACUCUCCCCGGCCCBAGACCBGAAAGAGUGACAGAGUGAGAGCUCUUUCUUGAUUCGGCGGGCGCGAUGAUGBUCGUUCBUUCUA